UCAAACCACUGAGCUAUACCUCCCACCCUUUCCCUGCAAACAGUCCCCCAAGCCCUUCACUCCGAUCCCAGGCACGUCUCUGCUUGGUUACUGUCCCAGGCGUCUAGUCAUGGUGUCCAGCCCCUGAGUGACAUGGAGAAUGUCAAUGGUGUUGUAGUAAUUGGUAUCACCAAAGUGUCUGUAGGUUUUUUACCAGCGAAUGGGAGGUGCAGUAGCUGGGGGGUUGGGGCAACGUACUGUGAUCAGGCCUCUGUUACGUUAGGAGCUCUGAUCUGCGUGUACGUGUGAAAACGCAAAAUAUUACAGCUGGUCCCUCAGUACCUGUAAUAACCAUUGGCUGGAACUCCUCCGGGGGCGGGGAUAUCCCGCCAGGUCUGGCACUCAGCAGGCCUCGGAGCACUCUGAACGCAGCGAAGGAGCCUGGGCCAGACGAGAGGAAGCAGCGUGAAGAGCAGCUGCAGGUGUUUGGAUGGGCCAUGGUGGAGCUGCUCGGGGACCAGGAUGGGAGCAAACUCUGCUGUCCUGCCUACACCAGGAGACCCUGCCUCUGCCUCCAGAAUUAUCUCAAAGGCCCAGGGCUAGGCGAGCGCGAGAGCCAGACACGAGCCCUUGAGUUCUUGAGGUUGCUGCAGGAAUCCAAGCGACUAAAAGCCGUAAAGUUCUGCAGCGACGUGGCCAGCCAGCAAGCCGAGGAGCCCAGGAGGCAAGGAGUGGUAUGGGGUGAAACCCAUGGGGAAUAAUGGAGCAGCAUGUCCCCUAGCUGAGGGGUAGUGCGCGUGGGCUGAGCCUUCCCCAGACAGGAUUCUCCAUCAGGGUGUCCUCAAAUGUGUUGCUGCUGGGGCUCUGGCACAGCUGUCUCGUGGGGAAACGCCAAUAAUCAUGGACAAAAACAGAGCUUAGGGGACGACUGAUCGCUUUCAGUCCAGAGAGAGACCAACAGGGAAGGAAUUUGGGGUGAUGAUGUGCUAUUGUCUCACGUGUCCAUAGGCUGCCAAGGCCUCUGCAGACCCAAGGGGCAGAACUGGCUGGCAGCCAACCUAGCUGGUUUUUGAGUGUCUAUGUUAUCCAGUGGUUAGAGCACGGGAUUGGGCCUUAAGAUUCCUGGGUUCUUUUCCCAGCACUGUUAUGAAUUCAGUGUUUGGGGCAAGUGCUUUCCCCUGCCUUCCUCCAGUCGUGAAAUGGGUGGUAGGCACCCUAAUUCCCUGCAGCGCUCUGAGGCCCCGUGCGAAGGGCGCAGCACUGUCCUGUUGAUUUCCUCAAGGAGGCGAGCCAUUGGGCUGGGGAGUGGCCAGCGGAGGUCUCUAGCCUUUGAGGACUUUGUCCUGAAGAACCGGAGGGUGUUGCGUGAAGAGCUGAAACUAUGCGAGAGAGCCAGGCAAAGGAUUCUGGAAUACACCAACAACUUCCUGCAUAAGAAGCUCAAAACAAGCAGCCAAAAGCCCGCCAGAGUUGAGUGGAAGAAGGGAAAAGGAGCACUGGGGCUCCUCAAGCCCAUUGCAGAACUCGGCGAAGAGACGUGCUGCGCGGCCCACUGCACUGUGAUGGCCUGCACCUAUGGCCGGCUGCUACAGCACUGGAGGGAUCGAGCAUUAAUGGGCCAGUCGGAGGCUCGCCGAGUCCUAGCCGAAAUGCUAACGCCCUCGGGGGGCUGUAGGUAUAACUGUUAGCGCUUCAUAUCCUGGGUGACUGGCUCCAGCCCAAGCACCGUUAGCAAGGUUAACGAGCAGAUGAAGAAGACUGGGGGAGACAGGGAGCCUCCUCUCCACAGACUCAAGUAGUGGAGGAAGGAGACCCCCAAGCCGAACAAGAAGGGUUGUGUUGCUGGGGAGAGAGCACACCCCAGUCAGGCACCAUUGCUGGCUUCCCCCGCCACAGCUGGUUCCCAGGAGCUGCCUUCAGUCUCGGUCCACGGACCAUCCUCAGCUGGCGAGCCACCCACCUCUGUAACAGACGCUCUGGACCCCUGCCCCUCGCUGCAGGCCAUGCUUGUCUCAGCAUUGCCCAGCACUGGCGGGGAGAUGACAUCACCUUGUACCAGGCGGCCAGCUGGCACCUUCUCUCCUGCACCGGCUGCUGCUCCAAAAGCUGUAUCCGCUUCUCUUGCUCCCUCCAGCCCCCUGCCACACAGAGCCCAGAUUGAUGGACUACUUCUCUCCCACCUCUUAGACUGAGCAGCAGCAGCAUCUGCGGGGCCUUGGCUACACUAGGGAUCCAGCCCACCCUGCGCAGCCUUCACCCCUGGCCCAGUCUCUGGCUCUCUCUCAGCUUCUUAGUCCGGACUCCAGGCUCCGUCCAGCCCGUCAGCAGAUGCAGGGAGUGGAGGAGAUAUGGCAAGGUCAAGAGCUGCAGCCUCCUUUGAUCCUGAUGGGGGCAAACAAACGGGCUGUUCCAGGGGGCCGGUUUCUUGGCGGCUGCGGUGCAGGUGCUGAGAGGGGCCUGGUGCCCAAUGCAGAACAGAGGCUCCCGUCCCAGCUGGUUGGAGGCAAUGAGACCCGAAAGCUGCCUGCCCUCCCCAGCAGCGCACGUGGCUGCCCCAGUGCUCCCGGGGGCUGGAGCAUGGGUCUCAGAACGCAGUCUGCCAGGUCAGCUACGGGGGCUGCUCUCGGCUCCACAGGUGAAUGCCCAAGGACAGCAUGUGAGUGGGGAGGCUAAGGUCACUGUUCCCCUCAGCUGGCCUAUGACUUUGGACUGCCCUGGGUAGGGCCAAUGAUGCCCAGCCCUGGCCCCCAGCUAUUCAGGAGUGCUCUGGUUUCGCCGCCAGCAAGCAAAGCCAGAGGGUCUGGCCCAAGGAGGGGAGCAUCCAAGGGCUAGUGUGAGAAGGCAGCUGUGAAGAGUCCAACAGCCAUGCUGGGCCUGGGAAUCUGUGGCCACCCUUGCAAUUCUGUGGCUCAGCUGGCCCCUGGAGCAUCAGCCCCAGGUGCGCACUGGCAGGGCUCUGGCCUGAGACCUGCUGGGUGCACACCCAGGACCCUGGAGCUGGGGAGGGUGAAGGCAGGUCAGUGUAGGACCCAGUAAGGUAAGGUCUGAGCAGCCUCUGAACUGUUGUAGGUGGACAGCACUGCCCCCGGCAGGAGCGGGCACAGUCUGGGCUCCCCAUUCCCAUUCCAGGUCCCUUAAGGUAGGACUGAAUCACCCUGGGGGAGAGGCCUCCUUCUAGGCUUUGGAACUCUGCCCCAUUGCAGCUUCCCUACUUUGCCCUGUAGCAAAGACAGGCCCCACUGGGUCCUGUCAUCAUUGGCUGGGAGAGCCAGUUACUGUUCCCCACGAGCUGUGCAGCAGGGGCUGGCUGUCGCUGCAAACAGAGACCCAGCAGCAAGGAAGCUUAUAAGCACCUGCUUAACCUUUAGCAUGUGCACUUUCCCCAGGCACGGCUUUGCUUGCACGGCUGCUGGAGUUCUCCUGAAAAACACAGCCCCCAAAGCCCUUAGUUCCUGCCUCCUCUCUCUCGGGCUGGGAGCCCUUAGCCCAGGCUCCCAAACCCAGGGCUGCUGUGUUCUAGCGAAGCAGGAGAAAGUUACUCUUGGCAUGGAAGUUUGGACCACACACGUUUAUUAAGCACAAUGCCCCCCGCCCCAGCCUCUCUGUAUUUCUAUAUAUUAAUUCAUUUGGCAGAUUAUUUUUUUAAGGAAAAAACAAGUACCUGGUGGGUUGAAAUUCCCUCUUAAAAUGACAUUAGCAAAUGCACAUGUAAAAAAUAAAUAAGCUCAUACAUUCAA